AUUGAACGCUGGCGGCAGGCCUAACACAUGCAAGUCGAACGGUAACAGGAAACAGCUUGCUGUUUCGCUGACGAGUGGCGGACGGGUGAGUAAUGUCUGGGAAACUGCCUGAUGGAGGGGGAUAACUACUGGAAACGGUAGCUCAUACCGCAUAACGUCGCAAGACCAAAGAGGGGGACCUUCGGGCCUCUUGCCAUCGGAUGUGCCCAGAUGGGAUUAGCUAGUAGGUGGGGUAACGGCUCACCUAGGCGACGAUCCCUAGCUGGUCUGAGAGGAUGACCAGCCACACUGGAACUGAGACACGGUCCAGACUCCUACGGGAGGCAGCAGUGGGGAAUAUUGCACAAUGGGCGCAAGCCUGAUGCAGCCAUGCCGCGUGUAUGAAGAAGGCCUUCGGGUUGUAAAGUACUUUCAGCGGGGAUGAAGGGAGUAAAGUUAAUACCUUUGCUCAUUGACGUUACCCGCAGAAGAAGCACCGGCUAACUCCGUG
rnacentral:rRNA from 1 species